ensembl:lncRNA
AGAGCGCGUGAGGGAAACUGCUACUGCACGACGCGAGUGAUGAACACCUGUGCGCAUCCCUGCGCCACCGGCACGCAGGUAUAAAGCAUAAAGCCAGUGUCGCUCGCGAGGAAAGAUGACAUGAUGGUUAUUGGCAUUUUUAAAGCGCUCGCCCUGCGAAUGCACCUUAAAACAAGGCACCCGGAGGGGCUCGCGCUGAUUCGACCCCAGUAAAGGGGUUCAAGAGCGGCUGAGGACAACUGUGAAUUAAUAAAAUGUUUCAAAACUGACCUAAACGCUCACUUUAGACAUCCCAAAUGCAGUCUUUGAGUACGGGAUAUGACUUACAGCCUGCGUUUAGACGGGAAUAUUGGCCAUUACCUGAACGAGAAACUCUAUUCUAAAACUCGUGAAGUACAAACGAUGUGUCGCGAUGCGCCUCAGGUAGAGCGCGCGCACAUUAACUGCUUUAAAUUGCAUGAAGCGCUUUAGCCAAGCCCAGUGUGUUAGAUUUAAAUGGUCCAGUUUUGACACAUUUGCUUUGCUCAACCGAGUAUCGGCGCUAAGCCCUGGGAUUUCACCUCGUCCUUGAGAGACCAGCGCAAAUCAACCCAAAUAAAACAUCCCGACCCUGUUCACCUCUCCCGGAGGGUCGUUUUCCUUCGCGACACGUGGACGAAGCCGUACACAGCAUUAGUGUGAAAGACACAAGCCAAACAAUGCCUGAUGAAAGGACACUCUCUGUGUUUGUUGCUGUUGACCUGAAUCUAGUCUGAAAGGAAGCCACGGACAGGGCGGAGAGGAAUGAAGAUACAGGGAGGAACGGGACCGAAGAGACGCAGCCUCUAUAGAGGGACUCAGACAGGGUGGGAGGAGAUCCCAGCAGGUAAAAGGACCCACCGCAGGUCACGACCACAAACAGCAUAUCAGCUGGCUAUUUCUGAACAGGCCAUUGUGCCUGAUUUCUGUCCACACAGACACACACACAAACACACACACACACGUGUCCUUUACACCUGGUUGUACUGUAGGUCCUGCUUAACGCUGUUGUAGUGCCAAUGGGAAUUUACAGUACAUACAAAAUACAAAAAAAAAAUCAGGAAGGUUUAUGUGAGGGUUAUAUUUAGGGUUAGAGGAUUGUUUUUAUUUGCCAUUAUUUUUAUGACCUGACCCUGAAUAAAGGUCACGUCAGCACACA